GCUGCAUGUAGUGGAUUUCUACUGGGUUUAGUAUCAGCUGCUUGUCACAUAAGGGGAGGUGGAUUUUCUAAUGUUCUUGUCAUUGGUGCUGAUGCUCUUUCUCGCUAUGUCGAUUGGUCAGAUAGAGCAUCCUGCAUUCUCUUUGGAGAUGCUGCUGGUGCUGUACUACUGCAGGCAUGUGAUACUGAGGAUGAUGGUUUAUUUGGUUUUGACUUG
rnacentral:misc_RNA from 1 species